GCUGCACAAGUGUAUAUAUUUAUUUGCAGUGCCUCGGGGAUUUGUUUCAUGCCCCUGCACGGGACUUCUCAGUUGGUUUUAAGCUGGUAUAUGUACAUUCCUUUCUCGUUCUCAGGCCCUCAUUCUGGUCUGCAUCUCUUGGAUCACCCCUGCUGUAUUCCAGCCACGUCUGAGGGUGCUGAAGGAUGGCUCUGAAAGACAUGCACUGGAAAGGCUGCACUCUGGAUUCAGUGGAGGAAGUGGCUAAAAGGAGGGUGCUGUCCAAGCUCACAUCCUGGAUGUUGUCAUGGAGAACACCUUCCUCCCUCUACACCAGACUGUGGAAGAGCUAAGCAGCUCCUUCAAAGAAAGACUUUUACACCCUGUUUGUAUAAAGGAGCACUACUACAGGUCAUUAAUCCCUGGUGCCACCAGACUCUACAAUGAUACACCCUGUGUAAACACUCUGUGCAAUAACCCUGUAUAAUAAUCCUGCUAUAUAUAUAUAUAUAUUUUUUUUUUUAAAGGUAUCAUAUGAGGGUGCACUGUAUAUACUGUAUAUAUCCCAUAAUAACAAGUACAUUUCUCCACUGUGAGAUCAAUAAAGUCAAUCAAUCUUUAAAUAGCCUCCCUAACAUUAAAAAUGGGGUUCCACACAGUUGGAACAGCAAAUGGUCCUC